rnacentral:rRNA from 1 species
GAUCAUGCUCAGGACGAACGCUGGCGGCGUGCCUAAUACAUGCAAGUAGAACGCUGAAGAGAGGAGCUUGCUCUUCUUGGAUGAGUUGCGAACGGGUGAGUAACGCGUAGGUAACCUGCCUUGUAGCGGGGGAUAACUAUUGGAAACGAUAGCUAAUACCGCAUAACAAUGAAUGACUCAUGUCAUUUAUUUGAAAGGGGCAAUUGCUCCACUACAAGAUGGACCUGCGUUG